rnacentral:rRNA from 1 species
UGAAUACGAGAUGCUACGGCGUCGAAGCAGUGUAUGUCAGACUUCCAAGAAAAGCUCGCAAUGUCAUAAAUAAAGAAUGCCUGUACCAUAACCGACACAGGUGGGUAGGUAGAGUAUACUAAGGGGCGCGAGAUAACUCUCUCUAAGGAACUCGGCAAAAUAACUCCGUAACUUCGGGAGAAGGAGUGCCUUCUUUAAGAAGGUUGCAAUAACAAGAUCCAAGCAACUGUUUAUCAAAAACACAGGUCUCCGCUAAGUCGUAAGACGAUGUAUGGGGGCUGACGCCUGCCCAGUGCCAGAAGGUUAAAGAAGCUGGUUAGCAAUAGCGAAGCUGGUGACUGAAGCCCUGGUGAACGGCGGCCGUAACUAUAACGGUCCUAAGGUAGCGAAAUUCCUUGUCGGGUAAGUUCCGACCCGCACGAAAGGCGUAAUGAUUUGGAUACUGUCUCGGAGAGGGACUCGGUGAAAUAGACUUGUCUGUGAAGAUGCGGACUACCUGCACCAGGACAGAAAGACCCUAUGAAGCUUUACUGUAACCUGAAAUUGAAAUUGGACUUUAUUUGCGCAGUAUAGGUGGGAGGCGUUGAAAGUAAUCUUGCGGGAUUAGUGGAGCCAUCAGUGAGAUACCACUCCUAUAAUGUUAGAUUUCUAACUUUGGAUCAUGAUCUGGUCAAAGAACAGUUUCAGGCGGGCAGUUUGACUGGGGCGGUCGCCUCCCAAAUGGUAACGGAGGCGUACAAAGGUUUCCUCUGAACGGGUAGAAAUCGUAUCUAGAGUAUAAAGGCAUAAGGAAGCUUGACUGUGAGACCUACAAGUCGAGCAGGGACGAAAGUCGGUCUUAGUGAUCUGACGGUGCUGAGUGGAAAGGCCGUCACUCAACGGAUAAAAGUUACUCUAGGAUAACAGGCUGAUCUCCCCCAAGAGUUCACAUCGACGGGGAGGUUUGGCACCUCGAUGUCGGCUCAUCGCAUCCUGGGGCGGUAGUACGUCCCAAGGGUUGGGCUGUUCGCCCAUGAAAGCGGUACGCGAGCUGGGUUCAGAACGUCGUGAGACAGUUCGGUCCAUAUCCGGUGUAGGCGUUAGAAUAUUGAGAGGAGCCUUCUCUAGUACGAGAGGACCGAGAAGGACAUACCUCUGGUGUACCAGUUAUCGUGCCAACGGUAAACGCUGGGUAGCUAUGUAUGGAGAGGAUAACCGCUGAAAGCAUCUAAGUGGGAAGCCCACCUCAAGAUGAGUAUUCUCA